AGUCGCACCUCGACGGGGUGGACGGGCCAUCAACAAGGCCCGUGGCCUAGGUUGGUGGCCCACAGUGCACUUGGUGGGUGCGCUGGCCUAUCAUCUCCCCAAGUGGGAGAGUGAACGUCAUAAUUUGUGAUAGAGAGGGUACGCGUUCGCGCGGCCCCUGU
rnacentral:snRNA from 1 species